UGCCUUACUAAAUUCAUCACCAUUCACCCAUAUGAUAAAGCAUCAGGAAAUUUACCUCAACCUGAGGAGUAAGGCUGGUUGCUGUGAUUUCCAUUUUUGCGGUUUUUAUCAUGAAACUUCAGUGUGCUUGUUAGUAUAUAGCAUGUAAUAGAUCCUCAAGCCAAUGCUGACCUUAGUCCAUGAAGGAAGAGGGACAUCCAGCAACGUUCUGCUCAAUCCUUAACUUCCCGACGUACGCUCAUCUAGCUUCACUACUUUUGCUGCUACAACUUGUCUUACUUCACCGACGAGUUAGAACACUUCAGUGUUCGCUACCCUUUGCUGUUACACACCUGCAGUUACUCACCACGGGAUUAUGCCCAGGUAAUGCAGAAGAGACGUCGAGAAGAUGGACACCAAAACAUCGCCGGUAUCUCCAAAAUGUCA